ensembl:lncRNA
GUCCUCUUAUACCUUUACUGUCUCGAUCCAGGCAAGCUGCUUCUAACAAUUGUUAGUAAUCUCAAUCCUUGGAUAGCUGGAAUCUUGAAGGAGGGAGGAAGUAAUUAGUGCUUUUCAGGAUGUUGGAGAAGUGCCACCGAAUGUUUGUAUUCAUUUCUCCAUUCCAGUGUCCUGAAAGCCAAACAGGAGUUCCAUGAACUAAGCAUUGCUCCCAUUCACUUAACAGUAGUCUUCUCAAUUCCAUAAUAGGUAGAAUCAACACUAAUUCAAAGAAGUCUUGCUUGCUCUAGAAAACACUGUUUUACUUCUUCAGACCAGGAGAAAAUGGUGUUUAGGGCUUCCCUGGUGGCUCAAAUGGUGAAGAAUCCACGUGCAAUGCAGGAGACCCAGGUUCAAUCCCUGGGUCAGGAAGAUCCAUCCCCUGGAGAAGGGAAUGGCAACCCACUCCAGUAUUCUUGACUGGAGAAUUCCAUGGACAGAGGAGCCUGGCAGACUACGGUCCACAGGGUCACAUAGCGUCAGACACGACUGAGCCACUAACUGUUUCACCCUUUCUCCUUUCAGGGCUGUGACUAGAGGUUUUAUCUGGCUGUCCUCCUAGCCAGUACAGCACAGACUUCGCAAUUCAUAUGAGAAACAGGGACAGCAAUUGACACUCAUGUGACUGUGAGGAUUAAAUAAAGUGAGUUUCCAGGAGCAUGAGGAGUCUGAGAAUCCUUCAGUCAAACUUGGAUGAUGAUCCAUCACAUACACACAUGUUUUAAUACCCCGAGCAGAGAAGCCACACAGGAGGACCAACUGCUUGGCAUGGAGCCAUUCCCUCCCACCUGAUAAUGCUUUUUAAACACCCUCUGUGUGAGGCUCCACUGGGACUGUGUCAAAGCUGCACUGGAGCUUCCAGCAGUAUCCGGUGCUGGCCUUUCUGGAACCUGUCAGUCUCCGUGCGUUACCCUCGCUGUUCUCUGUGUCUGAAACGUCCUGCUCAUUAAUCUCAGCUUUGAGUCAAGACUCAAACAUUACUUUCUGGAUAACGGGCCACUCUCCUUUCACUCCCAGCAUAGGCAGGGAGAACACAGAGGGAAGUGGUUACGGCGGUCCUCAGAGCAAACUUAAAGCAACAAAUAGAGAGCAGCCAUUCCCAGCCUCUUACGUAACCAAGACAAAAUUUUCCUGAGGAAGUUGGGAAGAAGCAAACAUCCUUAUAAAUACUAUUAAUAGAUAAUAUACUCCCUGCUUCCAGGGAACGUGGAGCAACUGCAGCUUCAGUGACUGAGCAAACCCACCCUCAAGAGCCCUGGUGUGAGAAAGAACGCAGCAGAACUCGGAGAAAAAAAGAACGUGACCCCAAGGUCUCUGAUUAACCACUCCGAGCUAAGAGUUUCACACCUUCCCUGGCAGAUAAGAGCCCUGGGAUCACCAGAAUCUCAUUCAAAGUAAAGCAUCUGAAAAUAAUUAUUCACAAAUAUAUGUAGAUUUUAUAGCAUAGUUUUCAUUCCUUAGGAUGGGCACUUCUGUUGUCUUCCUAACAAAGUCAUCUAUUGCUAAAAAUAAAUACCUGAACUGCAAAUUCUGAUUAUAUUGA